rnacentral:lncRNA from 1 species
UUAAUUAGAUAUGAGCAUUUUUAAAACAUGCAAUCUUCUGUAAUAUGCACGACUGGAUAAUUACACAAAUUCUCAAAACCAAAAAAACUAAACAAGCCGAAUCUAGCUAGAACUAGGCUACACAGGGGAGAGCGUUAGAUAACUAAACUGUGCGUGGGCGUCAAAUAAACAAGGAGGUUGGGAGCUCACCCAUGGGCUCGGCCCAUUCAGAGGGGUCGGUCGAGGAGGUCAGCUGGGCCUCGGAGGUGCAGGGGCUCGGGCACGCGCACUGGACCGAGGCGCUCCGGAGGUCGGCUUGGGGAGUUAUGGGCCAUAGGCUAGGCUGGGCUCGGCCAGCUGGUGUGGAGACCUGACGCGCGAGGCGCGGCCCACACGGCGCUGCGGCGGCCUAGGCGUGCAUUUGCGAGCGGUCAACACCGCUCAAGCGGGAACGUGGCAGGGCAAAGACUCAGCGAGGCAAACACGGCGGGGCGGCGCGGCUGACCAGAUCUGUCCACGAGAGGUUGACAGUGUCCGGUCUUCGGCCGGAUAGGUGUGGAGGCGGACCGAAGGUGGAGCUCCGUCGCGCGUGCGACUCGCUACGGCUGGCGGCUCCAUGGGCGCGGUUGACGGCGGUCGCUGGGUCGGCACGGCGGCGAGCGGCGGUAGUGUCUGCACAUGGGAGCUAUGGGCAGAGAGCGGUGAUAGGGCGAGGGUUAGGUAGCCGAGGCGCGAGCUCACGCGGCGCUGCAAGUUACACCUGUGGGCGAGCGGCGGCGCGGUGGUGGCUGCGGUCGCACAGACAUGUUAGGGGUGGCCGCGUACAUGUCCGACGGGGCUGCAGGAUGAUUUUUGACCCUAAUUUCAGAUUUUCGUGGCUGAAAAUAACAUGCUAGGAGUGGAUCUCCGGAUUACACGUAUGUGGGGCUAGAAUGUGGGGGUUUUCUAAGUGGAUCUCCGGAUUACACGUAUGUGGGGCUAGAAUGUGGGGUUUUCUAAAGGGUGUCUGCAAUUCCGUCAAUGGGGAACCCUAGAUAGUAAGGGGGCUCUCUGCAUAGGGUGGGUUUAUAUAGGGAUUGGUCUAUAAUGGGUUGGACCUUUUCCGCCCGAUCGCGAUCCGAUGACCACGAAUGGAGGGAGGGUCUAGGUGGGUCUAGUGGGCUAUGUAGAUGGGCUACGUGGGGAUGAAAGGGAAGUUUGUGAAGCAUGAUAAAGUUUUAAAACAUCA